GCUCAUAACGGUCUGAUCCCCGAAUCCUCCUUUUCCCCCGAAUCUCUCUAUCCGAGAGACAUCCACUUUCGAAAAGUGAAUCAAUACUCAAAUAAAGGGGAGGAAAAAUCAAUUGUCCGCCAUUGGUUCCUUCUGUGAAUGACAUGCAGCUUAUUCAUCUAGAUAUACAUUGCUACAAGCUUUUCAAUUGUCCUUUCUUUCCCUUUUCUUUCUUUUACACUUUUUCCUUUUCAUGGCUGAGCUGAAGAGAUCGACCGGUACUGUAAGGUGGUUUAGUGCACAGAAGGGGUUUGGCUUCAUAGCUCCAGAUGAUGCUACCGAUGAUCUUUUCGUCCACCAAACCUCCAUUCGUUCAGAAGGAUUCCGGACUCUUUUCGAUGGUCAAACUGUUGAGUUUACCAUCGAUUAUGAUCAAGAUCAACGCGCCAAGGCCGUCGACGUCACUGUAAUUGAUAGAUCUACCAGAUAUGGAGGAGGCCGCGGGGGUGGGAGAGGUAGAGGUGGUUCUUAUGGAAGAUUCGGUGGUGGUGGACGUGGUUUUGGCAGAGGAAGAUGGAACGAAGGUCCAAGCGGUGGUGGUCGUGGCGGUGGGGAGUGCUACAAUUGUGGCCGGAUGGGUCAUUUGGCGAGGGAUUGUUACAGGGGUAACGGCGGUGCUCCUUCCGGCCGUAGAUACGACGGUGGUCGAGGUUAUGGUGGAGGUGGAGGCGGCAGAGGUUGUUAUAAUUGUGGAGAUACAGGACAUUUGGCUAGGGAUUGUCAAAACGAAAGCAAAUGAAGAAUGUCGGUUUUCCUUUAAGCGAAUAUCGCUGAUAGAAAACCUUAAGAAUAACAAGGAAGACUUCGUGGUGUUCUUGAGAUUCUACAAAGGAUCAUGAAGAAAAGAAUAAACAUGAAUCGCAAGAUGAGCACAUGGAAAAGCACUGCAAUAGGAAGCCUGGAAGCCUAUCUGGCGAUUAAACAUCCCUAGGCGAGGAACCACAUCAUCAUGUGAUGAAGAUUCACUACCAGAAAAGAAUGGUGGUUGGAGAUGAUGUGACUGGACAAGGUUGCAAUUGAUGCUAACAUAUUCAAAAGAAAAGAAGCUUUCCACCUAAAGUAGUUUCUAUAAAGUCUCUUUCCCUAUCGUGUAACCUUGUCGAGUCUAAAUAGACCAAAACCUAGAGUGCUUAAUGAGAGCAAGUGGAAAUGACUGACCUUUCCGCCUUUUGUAAAAGAUUCCCCACCUCUUCUCCAGCUUGAAUGAAUGAGGGCCCUUCGCAGCA